UGAACAAGGUACUGGAUUUUCAUGAUCUCAAUUGAGACCCAAUGAGGCAAGAUUGGAAAAAACGUGGCUGCAGAGCAAGGCAACUCGAUGUCCCACCCCCAUUCCUGCCCUUGGUUACUUUCAGAUCCUAGAAGAUAAACCUUGCUGUUAAGAAGACAAUUGGCAGCAUUGUGAGCUCAUUGAGAGCCGGAUUCCUUUCAGAUGUUUCAUUUUGAUGGAGAUCACCAAACUUUAUCAGCUGUUGGAUUUAUGCUAGCUGCAUGGAGGAAUGAGAAAAGGCACGGCAGGUCAAACAGGACCUGAUGAAGGUUUCUGCCUGAAAUGUUGACUGCCCUGCUCCUCUGAAGCUACCAACAGCUCCACACUUUAUCAACUCUAAUUUUCCAGCAUCUGCAGUCCUCACCAUUUCCAAGAUGGAGGAAAGAACCAGAGACUGAAGGCAGGAGAGUUUAAAAGGACCUCCAGAGACCUGCCAGCAAAGUUGGGCUCUAAUUUCUCUUUGUUCGAGAUGUCUUGGAUGGUUGACAGGAGCUGUGCAAGGCAGUUGCAGAUUGACAGAUCUUAAGCUGGUGCAGAGCUGGACUUUAAAGAAAGCACCAGCAUUGGUGAAUACUUCCAACCUCUGUCAAGAGAGCAGAGUGAGCACCAUAGAGGUGUGGUACAUUGGUCUCUCUCAAUCUUCAUAGUGGAUCAUCUGCCCUCCCCACAAGACCUCCAUUGUGUAUGCCAUGCAUAGAUAGAGUAUUGUGCCAUAUUGGUGUGCUGGAGACCAAGCAUGUGCAUUAAUGAAAAAAACAUAUCUGGAAAAGUUUUAUAGUAACUCCCGACAUCUGCAUUGUUUA